rnacentral:rRNA from 1 species
UGGCUCAGAUUAGAACGCUGGCGGCGAGGCUUAACACAUGCAAGUCGAGCGGUAACACGUUCGGGUGACGAGCGGCGGACGGGUGAGUAAUACAUAGGAAUCUGCCUAGUAGUGGGGGAUAACGUAGGGAAACUUACGCUAAUACCGCAUACAUCCUACGGGGGAAAGCAGGGGAUCUUCGGACCUUGCGCUAUUAGAUGAGCCUAUGUCGGAUUAGCUAGUUGGUGAGGUAAAGGCUCACCAAGGCGACGAUCCGUAGCUGGUCUGAGAGGAUGAUCAGCCACACUGGGACUGAGACACGGCCCAGACUCCUACGGGAGGCAGCAGUGGGGAAUAUUGGACAAUGGGCGCAAGCCUGAUCCAGCCAUGCCGCGUGUGUGAAGAAGGCCUUAGGGUUGUAAAGCACUUUCAUUGGGGAGAAAGGCUGUUUGGUUAAUACCCAAGCAGAUUGAUGUUACCCAAAGAAGAAGG